AGAGUUUGAUCCUGGCUCAGAACAAACGCUGGCGGCGUGCCUAACACAUGCAAGUCGUACGAGAAAGGGUCUUUCGGGAUCUGAGUAAAGUGGCGCACGGGUGAGUAACGCGUGGAUAAUCUGCCCUUCAGUUGGGAAUAACUCAUCGAAAGGUGGGCUAAUACCGAAUAACGCUGUGAGACUUUGGUCGAUCAGCCAAAGAGAGCCUCUGCUUGCAUGCCCUCGCUGAAGGAUGAGUCCGUGUACCAUUAGCUAGUUGGUAGGGUAAUGGCCUACCAAGGCGACGAUGGUUAGCUGGUCUGAGAGGAUGAUCAGCCACACUGGAACUGAGACACGGUCCAGACUCCUACGGGAGGCAGCAGUGGGGAAUAUUGCGCAAUGGGCGGAAGCCUGACGCAGCGACGCCGCGUGGGGGAUGACGGCCUUCGGGUUGUAAACCUCUUUCGCCAUCGACGAAGGCCUUUGGGUUGACGGUAGGUGGAGAAGAAGCACCGGCCAACUACGUGCCAGCAGCCGCGGUAAUACGUAGGGUGCGAGCGUUGUCCGGAAUUAUUGGGCGUAAAGAGCUCGUAGGCGGUGUGUCGCGUCGGUCGUGAAAACUUGGGGCUUAACCCUGAGCUUGCGGUCGAUACGGGCAUCACUUGAGUUCGGCAGGGGAGACUGGAAUUCCUGGUGUAGCGGUGAAAUGCGCAGAUAUCAGGAGGAACACCGGUGGCGAAGGCGGGUCUCUGGGCCGAUACUGACGCUGAGGAGCGAAAGCGUGGGGAGCGAACAGGAUUAGAUACCCUGGUAGUCC
rnacentral:rRNA from 1 species